UGCUACAUUUACAUCAAACGCGUUGCGUGCCUCCAAAAAUCUCAAAAUGCACGCAUCUCGACGCUGGUGUCCAGUGAGGACAGACGCAUUCGAUGUGAAGAAGUCUAAACCAACAAGGAAAGAGAUGACGUUUACCAGCACUUGCUCUCAAACCAUACCCAACAUGUGCUCAGUUGGGACCCAGCUUUCCAUUAAAACUCUUCAACCCCAUGUUAAAAGUUUAGUAUACAGGUGACCCCAAAGUGUUUUGAUUUUGGAACCAACACUUCAACAACUACAUUUGGGCAAACACACACCUUAUUGUCAUCCACACCAG